UGAACAGCUGCGUAUGUAACAGCACGAUCCUUAUAUCCUAUCAUUUCCAAACCGUAGAUAUUGUAAUAUCUCGCUGGUAUAUCACGGAAUAAUAUGUCUAAACUGAGAUGAAGGUUUGCUGAAGCGUUAGCUUACUAAAAACAACAACUACCGUAGUUACAUGCAAGUUAACAGUUGUAUUUGAUGUUUAUGACUGGUGUAUAAGUUAACUAACUGCAGGUGUGCCGUAAAAAAGCAAGAUGUAUCUUGUGAUAUUUGUCAUGGCUUUAUUGGUGUACAAUGUUGGCACAGACCCACCGAGCAGAUUAGAUGAUUUUUAUAAAGGUCACUAUCAAAAAGACGAGCAUCAUUAUGCAAGGCACGAAAGGGGCUACACAUUGG